CCUACGGGAGGCAGCAUUGGGGAAUCGAUGGCAAUGAGGGAAACCUUGACCACGCAAUGCUACGUGAAGGAAGAAGGUCUACGGAUUGUAAACUUCUUUACUAGAGAGUACUUCCGCAAGGUUUGCUCUUUGGCAAAAAGUCACGACUAACUACGUGCCAGCAGUCGCGGUAAGACGUAGGUGGCGAACGUUAUCCGGAAUCAUUGGGCGUAAAGGGUGCGUAGAUGGCAAGAUAAGUUAGCGGUGGUAAAUCGAGGCUCAACCUCGUGGAAGCCGGUAAUACUGUUUUGCUUGAGUGCAGGAGAGGUUAACGGAACUCCAUGUGGAGCGGUAAAAUGCACAGAUAUAUGGAUGAACACCAAUAACGGCGAAGGCAGUUAACUAUUCUGCUACUGACAUUGAGGCACGAAAGCGUGGGGAGCAAAACGGAUUAGAUACCC
rnacentral:rRNA from 1 species